GCAGGGAUCCAGGUGUGCCCAGGUGAGCAGGGAUCCAGGUGUGCCCAGGUGCGCCGAUGUUCAGGUGUGCAGGGAUCCAGGUGUGCCCAGGUGAGCAGGAAUCCAGGUGUGCAGGGAUCCAGGUGUGCCCAGGUGUGCAGGGAUCCAGGUGGGCCCAGGUGUGCAGGGAUCCAGGUGUGCAGGGAUCCAGGUGGGCCCAGGUGUGCAGGGAUCCAGGUGUGCCCAGGUGUGCCCAUGUUCAGGUGUGCAGGGAUCCAGGUGUGCCCAGGUGAGCAGGAAUCCAGGUGUGCAGGGAUCCAGGUGUGCCCAGGUGUGCAGGAAUCCAGGUGUGCAGGGAUCCAGGUGGGCCCAGGUGUGCAGGGAUCCAGGUGUGCCCAGGUGUGCCCAUGUUCAGGUGUGCAGGGAUCCAGGUGUGCCCAGGUGUGCAGGGAUCCAGGUGU